GACGAACGCUGGCGGCGUGGAUUAGGCAUGCAAGUCGAACGGUAUCAUCCUUUCGGGGGUGAGAGAGUGGCGAACUGGUGAGUAACACGUAGGUUAUCUACCCUCAAGACGGGGACAACCCAGGGAAACUUGGGCUAAUACCGGAUGUGAGCAACUUUUAGUUGUUUGAAAGGUGGCGUAAGCUGUCGCUUGGGGAUGAGCCUGCGUCCUAUUAGUUAGUUGGUGAGGUAACGGCUCACCUAGGCAAUGAUAGGUAGGCGGCCUUAACGGGUGGUCGCCCACACUGGGAUUGAGAUACGGCCCAGACUCCUACGGGAGGCAGCAGUCGAGAAUAGUCUACAAUGGUCGGAAGACUGAUAGUGCGACGCCGCGUGAACGAUGAAUCCCUUCGGGGUGUAAAGUUCUUUUAUAUGUGAGCAGUGCUUCUUAUAUUAACAGUAUGGGGAGAGAGAUAUUAGCAUAAUGAAUAAGCAACGGCUAACUCCGUGCCAGCAGCCGCGGUAAACUCG
rnacentral:rRNA from 1 species